rnacentral:rRNA from 1 species
CCUACGGGAGGCAGCAGUCGAGAAUCAUUCACAAUGGGGGAAACCCUGAUGGUGCGACGCCGCGUGGGGGAAUGAAGUUCUUCGGAUUGUAAACCCCUGUCAUGUGGGAGCAAAUUAAAAAGAUAGUACCACAAUACGAAUAGACGGCUAACUCUGUGCCAGCAGCCGCGGUACUACAGAGGUCUCAAGCGUUGUUCGGAAUCACUGGGCGUAAAGCGUGCGUAGGCUGUUUCGUAAGUCGUGUGUGAAAGGCGCAGUAUCAACCCGCGGACGGCACCGGAUACUGCGAGACUAGAGUAAUGGAGGGGGAACCGGAAUUCUAGGUGGAGCAGUG